UACAGAGGUCCCAAGCGUUGUUCGGAUUCACUGGGCGUAAAGGGUGCGUAGGUGGUGGGGUAAGUCGGAUGUGAAAUCUCCGAGCUCAACUCGGAAAUGGCAUUGGAAACUACCCUGCUAGAGGAUCGGAGGGGGGACUGGAAUACUUGGUGUAGCAGUGAAAUGCGUAGAUAUCAAGUGGAACACCAGUGGCGAAGGCGAGUCCCUGGACGACUCCUGACACUGAGGCACGAAAGCUAGGGGAGCAAACAGG
rnacentral:rRNA from 1 species